AGCUCCAAUAGCGUAUAUUAAAGUUGUUGCAGUUAAAAAGCUCGUAGUUGAAUUUCUGAUAGAAGGGAGCGGUUCCGCAUUCUUGCGGAUACUGGCUCGUCUUCCGUCAUCCUUGGGCUUAGUCUCGCUGAUAUUAACUUAUCGGCGUUUACCAUGCCCAUCGUUUACUGUGAGCAAAUUAGAGUGUUCAAAGCAGGCAUUUUGCCAUUGAAUAUAUUAGCAUGGAAUAAUAAGAUAGGAUUUCACGAUUUUAUUUUGUUGGUUUGCGUUGUGAAAUAAUGAUUAAGAGGGACAGUUGUGGGUAUUCGUAUUCAGAUGUCAGAGGUGAAAUUCUUAGAUUAUCGGAAGACGAACGACUGCGAAAGCAUUUACCAAGGAUGUUUUCA
rnacentral:rRNA from 1 species